GCCAGACUCCUACGGGAGGCAGCAGUGGGGAAUAUUGCACAAUGGGGGAAACCCUGAUGCAGCGACGCCGCGUGAGUGAAGAAGUAUUUCGGUAUGUAAAGCUCUAUCAGCAGGAACGAGACAAGACGGUACCUGACUAAGAAGCCCCGGCUAACUACGUGCCAGCAGCCGCGGUAAUACGUAGGGGGCAAGCGUUAUCCGGAAUCACUGGGUGUAAAGGGAGCGUAGACGGCUGUGCAAGCCUGAAGUGAAAGGCGGGGGCCCAACCCCUGGACUGCUUUGGGAACUGUACGGCUGGAGUGCAGGAGAGGUAAGUGGAAUUCCUAGUGUAGCGGUGAAAUGCGUAGAUAUUAGGAGGAACACCAGUGGCGAAGGCGGCUUACUGGACUGUAACUGACGUUGAGGCUCGAAAGCGUGUGGAGCAAACAGGAUUAGAUACCCGGGUA
rnacentral:rRNA from 1 species